CAUGGGGCUCUGUGUAUGUUUUCAUCAGAAAAGUCAAAACCUAAAAAAAAAUUGUUCUUGCAAUUUUUCGACCGUCUGAGUGUAAUUUUGCAAAAUUCAUUAAAAAAUAUGUGCAAAACAAUAAAAAAUUCAAUAAAAUAUACAUCGGCGUGUAAUUAAUAAUGAAUUUGUUAAACAAUUGUGUACAAUCACAGUGAAUAAGUGCCAAAAUAUAACCGCAUAUUAAUUUAAGAGGAAGGAUUUAUCUCGAUACGCUUCUCUGUGGCUGUGGUAUUAUAUUUAGGUGAGGUUGAAACUAAUGCGGAUAAUGAAAGGAAAACUAAAAUUGUAUAUCUUACGUUUUGGUUGAGCACAGAGAAUACUUGAGAGUUGAGAAGUGGUGGUUUGGUUAAAUGGAAUUUAUUGACAAAGCUUGCAUUUUAUAAUCAGAGUUCAAGUUACGAAUGGAAGGAAAGAUAAGAAGUUCUCGACAGCAACAAGGUCGUUUUUUUUGAUUACUAAAGGAAAAUAUAAAUUAAAUUUUAGAAGAAUAAGAAGAAUAAGAACGUUGUAAAGAAAAUUGACAUUGUGUUGUGUUACAAUGAAAUCUUAAUUUAACGUUUUAUGUGUGUUAAUAAAUUGGGUUAUGCUCUGAAAACAAUGCUUUGUUAAUGAAAUUGAAGUAACAAGAGAACCUGUUAUCUAAGGGUGUAAAUAGCAUUUGAAAAUUAUUUCAACUAUUUUAAUAUCAGAAUUACUAUAUUUGAAUAAAAUGUGUCAAAAAUUAUUGAUUACAAAAAAAAAAAAACACAUUAAGCCUUUGGCUGCCAUCACUUUUGGG